GGGUGGUCUGAGUGCAGUGGUGUUUACGAAUAAUUGAUCACAACCAGUUACAGAUUCCCAUAUUCCUCUCCACUCCCACUGCUUCACUUGACUAGCCUUAA
rnacentral:Y_RNA from 1 species